rnacentral:lncRNA from 1 species
CUGACACCUGAGUUUCAGGUGUUGGAUCAGUUAAGGUAAAUAACUUCAUCCUAUUAUAUGGUUUCUGACUUUCUGUACAUCUAAAGUCAAAAUUGGUCAAAAUUCACAAUCAAUUUGCUUGGAUCUGUUACUAUUGCUAAUGGUGGAGUUAUGCCUAAUAUUCAUUCCAACCUCUUGCCUACUAAGAAGAAAACUGCUGCUUCUUCAAAUGAAGACUGAAUUCAAGAAGAUCUGUGUGUUCAUGAUGUAGACAACUCAGAGAAUUAGAGAAAAAUGUGUCAUUUCUUUAGAUUGUGUAUUUGGUUUUUAGUUGUUGUUGGGUUUCUAUGUAGAAGAAGGAAGUAAUGUGAAUGAUAAAGUUGUUCUUGAUUUGUAAAUUUAUUUUGAAUUUUGAAUCCAAAACUGAAAUAAACUAUGGUACAAAAUUUAUUUGAAAUUUCAUUUGAAUUUGGGAAUCUGUUCAUGUGGGGUUGCAAUUUGAGAUAAAAAAAAUGCCGGAAUUUGGAUUCCAAUUUGAAGAAAUGACAAGUGGACAUGACAAAUAUUGUUUUGACAUCUGGACAAUGGUGCAAAUAAUUUCUAUGAAUAAUAUUAAAUUAAGUUCUUUAGCCAAUCAAUUCACAGCUUGAAUGAUCCUUUAAUCCUCUUGUGAAUACUCAGAAGAUAUCGUUUUCCUUGUACUCCACUACUUGAAAGAGCUCAUUGUUAGCAAGAGAACCUAGGAAUAUAUAUAUUGAUACAACAUCUGUGUAGUAGUACAUUUUUUUCGCAAGUUGGAAAUUAUGAGAAUCACUGUGAUAGAAGAGACUAUAGUGAAACCUAUAGAAGAAACUCCUCAUGAAAGCUUAUGGACACCUAAUACAGAUCAGUUGUUUAAUUGUCUAGUCCCAAGUGUUUAUUUCUAUAAGCCUAAUAAGACUUCAGACUUUUUUAGUUGUAAUGUGUUGAAAUAUGCACUAAGUAAGGUUCUUGUUCCAUUUUAUCCAAUUGCUGGUAGAUUGAAGAGAAAUAAAGAAGGUAGAGUUGAGAUAGAUUGUAAUGGUGAAGGUACUCUCUUUGUUGAAGCUGAGACAGAUUCUGUUCUAGAUGAUCUUGGUGAAUUUGUACCUACAGAGGAAGUCAGGCAACUCUUACCUUAUAGAAUGUAUAAUCCAAAAGAUAUUUCUUCUUUUCCUCUUUUUUCUGUUCAGGUUAGUCUUUAGCUUUGUUUGUUUUUGUUUUUUGCUUAGUAACAUGGAAUUUGCAGACCAAAUGGUGAUUCUUUUUUGUGUUCGAGUGCUAACAGGUGACCUACUUCAAGUGUGGGGGAGCAUCAGUUGGUGUGCUUGUAGAGCACAGUAUGGUUGAUGGUACCUCUGGGACUUAUUUUACCAAUUCAUGGGCCAGAAUCGCGCGAGGACUUGAUAUCAAAAUCUUACCAUUCGUUGAUAGGACUUUGUUACGAUCACGAGAUCCACCCACACCAUCUUUCCGCCAUGUUGAAUUUGAAUCCUCACCCGCAAUGUUAUCCCAAGGCCGAAAUCCUUUUUGUGUUGCUAUGUUCAAGCUCUCAUGUAAUCAAAUCAAUCUAUUAAAGGCCCAAUGUACAGAUGAUGAAUCAGGCAGUGUAAGAUUUAGUUCAUUUGAAGUAAUAGCAAGUCAUGUAUGGCGUUGUGUAGGCAAGGCUCGUGGUGUCCAUGAUGAUGAAGAACUAAAGAUACAGAUUGCCAUAGAAUCAUAGAUGGCAGAUCACGUCUUCGUCCACAACUCCCAUCAGAAUACUUUGGUAAUGCAAUUUUUAACGUAAAACCAAUGGCAACUGCAGGCGAAUUAGUAUCAAAACCACUCAUUGAUAUUGUUCGAAAAAUGCAUGAUGUCUUAGUAAGAGCCGAUGAUGAGUACCUUAAAUCAGCUCUCGAUUUCUUGGAGAUACAACCAGAUCUUUUGAGAGUCCUUCCUCCUCUUAGGUGCCCAGAUAUGGCAUUCACUACUUGGUGUUCCAUGCCAAUAUAUGAAGCAGAUUUUGGGUGGGGUAGACCAACUUUUGUGGGCUUGGGUAAUAUUCUUGUUGAGGGCCUGGCAUAUCUUCUCCCAAGCCCAAUAAUGGAUGGAAGUCGUUUAUUGGUCAUUUCACUAAAACCUGAUCACAUGGUCCUGUUCAAAAAAUACGUAUAUGACAUCUAAAUUGUAUUUUAGUUGUUUUCUCUUUGAAAUAAAAUGGGCCUAAGAUGUUGUAAUUGAGUAUAAUCCAUUCCAUGGUGUGUUAGGCCCAAUAUUUUCUUUUUUUUUUUUUUUUGAAAAAAAACGAAAUUUUAUUAAUAAACUUGAGGAAUUACACAACAGUAGAAGUUUUUUUUUUUCAUAUAUAAAAUUAUAAAUAAUUAAAUAUGGAUUAGUCAUAAUAAAGAAGAGUAAUGAAAUAAUUGUAGGAAAAUAUAUCCUUCUGUAGUUACUUGUCCAAAUAUAAUAGAAGAUAUAUUUUGGUCUCUUUCUAUAUUUUUAUUCUAUAUAUAUAUAAUAUAUAUAUAUAUAUAUAUAUAUAAUAUAAAAUGCUUCACUGAUCAUCUGUUGAUUAAUUCAUUGGCAGUUCACCAUGAUGAGAAACCCUAGUAAAGCCGCUCUUCUCUUCAUCUUCUCUUUCAUACUUACAGCUUUAUUACAUGUCGCUGCUGAUUCUGCCUCUCUCUUAUCAUCAUCUUCUGCUUCUCCAAACAACAGUACCGGUAGCAUUACUAUAGGCUCUUCUCUUUCCGUCAAAGGAACCCAUGCUUCUUAUUGGCUCUCCACUUCAGGCAUCUUUGCCUUUGGUUUCUACCUCAACGGUUACAAUAAUGAAAUCAAAGUAGGUUUAUGGAUGAACAAAUUAUGUGGUGGAAGAACUGUAAUAUGGACUGGCCUAGACAAUUACAGUGUUGGUAGUGAGUCAUCCAUACUAUUUAAUCAUGAUGGUGUGUUCGUUCUUGAGGAGCCAGGUACUAUUUCAAAACCAUUAUUUCGUGAUGCACCACCAACAGCUUCAUAUGCUUCCAUGCAGGAUAAUGGCAACUUUGUUAUAUAUGACUCAAAUUCUAACAUUAUCUGGGAAAGCUUCAGUUACCCAACUGAUACAAUUAUCUCCGGUCAAACAUUAAAGUUGGGCCACCAUCUGCGCUCAAAGUCUUGCAAACUGACAAUUUGCAUUAAGGGAAACCUGGUGAUCGAAGAUAGCCGUAUUAAAGAUUGGAUAGUUCGAAAGUGCAGGCUUAGUGCACUUAAUCUCGACUUGACCGGUCAUCUCUAUCUAGUUGACCAGGAUGGUUUAAUUACCAAGAAUUUAACUACAGGAGAUGAACAUGCUGAUUCCGGCAGUUUGAGUAAUACAAUCUAUAGAGCAACAUUAGGAUCCGAUGGAGUUUUUCGACUUUAUGGAGAAAGAUGGUCUAAAUGUGGAGAAACAGUUGAAUUGUGGCAUUCUGGAUGUUCUGUCUGUGAUGUUGGACAGAUAUUGUUAUGUUGUCUUAUAUUGGGGGGCGGAUUAAUAUUCUCGCAGGUAGUCAUAUUGGUAUUUUCAUAUUGCAGUGAUACUGUCUAUGAUGACUGGAUGGCCUUCAUUUGGCGUGAUAAUUAUAAUAGCAAUGUUGAACGGAGCGGCUUGAUUUGGAUUUGUUCUAUAGGUAUUGCUGGUGGAGUGUGCACGGUUAUAAUUGGAGUUACUAUUUACUUCUUUAAAACAAGACCUUACUAUUAGGUUUGUUUGAAAACUUUUUUGGGAAUGGAAUUGAGUUUAUAAUUCUAAAACUUGUGAUUUUAGAGAAUUAAAAUUCUUAGUGUUAUAAAAGUAUAAAACAGAUUUUAUACUAUAAUUCCAAAACAGAUUAGUAGAACAAGGCAAAGGCAAGGAAUCAAUCAGCAAAGAAAACUAACAAGAAAAUGAACAAGUAGCAACUCCCUUCCCAAAACAUCUCUAGCUUUACUUGUCACUUGUCACUUGUCACUUGUCAGUCAGACCAUUUCCUUCCAAGCCUUGUCCACGGGCUUAAGUUAUGUGCUUCUACACAAUACAUAAAAGGACUCCAGUAAAGCCCAACCCAAUCCCAAUUGUCUUUCUACCAAAGAAAAGAAACUUGAUCAAUCGAAUGAGCUAGGUGAUCAUGAGAAUGAUAUGGGAAUGCACACAAUAAUAUCUACCUAUCUGGGAAUAAUUAUACAGUAGUGUUUUCUCAUUACAGACUCCAGCCAUUUUCAAUAUCUGUUGUUUUCUCAUUACUACAUCUUUUGGCACCCAUAACCAAUUACAUUGAAAAUGUUCAGAAGAUCAAUAUAUUCUCAUCAUCGUAGGCGGCACCGGCGGUUCAAGGCUCAAGUAAGUUUGUUUAAUUAAAUUAUGCAUAUAAUCCCCAUACAUGAUACUAAGCUACUGUAUAUAUUAAGAAUCAAAUAAAUUUACAAUCUUGGGUUUUGCAUAAGAAAAUAGCUCAAGGAUGUCAAUAACAUUAGCUAAGCUAGGGAGUCCAGAAAAGUCGCAACCAUGUUAGUAUAUAUCAAAAAAUUUAGCUAAACAUGCAGAGAAGGAGAUCAAGUCACUUUCACCAACAAGAAGUAUCCUGUGAGAACUGUAGUACUGCUUAAUCCAUAUAUUUUUCUUUUUUAGUACCUGCGCUCCCCACAUCCUUUUCACACUAUCAGCCAACUUCAAUGCACCACUAGUAGUAGUGUAGUACUACUACUAGUAGCCAUCCAAAGUUGAAAUGAGACUUGUGUGUUUUAAGCUCACUAACUCCCCUGCCUUUGUUUUCAUUUUCUUGUGCAAUAGUCACAACAUGAGCAUCUGGGAUUGUGAAAAUUACCUUUUCUGUUCUACAUUUUCAAUAGCAUUUGAGUUUGAAAGAAAAUUCAGGCUGGUUGAAAGCCUUGUAUAUAUGAAAUGUUCAUGUUCACUUCCACUUCUUGCAUCAGCUGCUUCAUAUAUCCUUGGAAUAGUAAUUACUACAUGCAUGUGAGCUUCAUAUGUCUUGAUCUCUUGCUUCAUCAAUCUCUUCCUAUGGACUAAAUUUAGUAGAAGGUGCAUCGGUGAAAGACGUACCUUUGGAUAUACUUUUUCCUAGAUUUACUACUUUUCCAACCUUGGAAAAUAAUCUUAGAUCUUUUUUUUUUGUUGUAAGAUAAAAUUUUAUUAAGAAAAAAAAUAAGGAAACAGUCCUGUUACACAUGCCAAAUCAUGGUCAGGUAUGAUAACAUCAACAACAAGUCACUACUCUCCAUUCUCUAGAAUGAUAGAAUCCCACUACAGCAACAGGUCCUAAAGUGAAAAUUGCGUCGCCCAGUCCAAAACCCUAUCCAAUACCAGAUAAUGCUCUUCAUCUUGGUGCAUAUCCCCUCAAUUGUGAAAGCUUUGUCUUUGAAAACCUUAGCAUUUCUAGUUAUCCAAAGUGACCAUAUAAUAGCAUAUGGCAGCAGACCCCAAGCGAUUCUCCCAAACGCGCUCGAGUCAUUAUUCGCCAUAUCUGCAAUGCCACCGAGCAGUGGAGAACCAAAUGAGAGAUGCUCUCACCAAGUACACCACACAUAGGGCAUACACCAUCAAUCAAUUGUCCUCUUCUGAUCAAGUUCUCUUUUGUCAAGGAACGAUCAAGAAGUAGCGACCAGAAAAAAAAGCUGAACAUUGGUUGGUAACUUCUUUUUUCCAAACCAACUUGGUCGGGAAAGGUUCCACGAUAUGAUCAGAUGGUCUUCCAUUGAGAGCGAUACGAUCGUACAUUGAUUUCACCGUAAAGGAACCUUGAGUUGUCCAUCUCCACAACCAUUUUGCUUUAAGUGCCAGGUUCAUGUCUUGGAUCCUCCUCAAACCGAGCCCUCAAACCCUUAAUUUUGAUUUUGAACUCAAAUUAAUGAGAGAGAGAGAGAGAAAGAGCGCAAUUGACAAACCCUUAAUUUUGAUUUUGAACUCAAAUUAAUGAGAGAGAGAGAGAGAAAGAGCGCAAUUGAGAAGAUGGUGUGGGGGAAGGAUUUAUAGUUCUUUUAAUGGUGGAAGAGGAAGAAAAGAGGGAGAGUUGGCAUCGGGGAAGUUAAUUCUUUUGGAGUCUUAAUUUUGUUCCUAACACUUCCCUAUCACGUGAUAAGCACAUGGGAAAAAAAUUUAUUUUUCUAAGUAACUACUUACACUAUUAAGCUGUUAGUAUAUUUUUCCAAUACUGUUACUAAAUAAAUAAAAAAAUAAUUUAAUUAAUACUAACUAUUUUUAUGAAAUACUAACACCAUAAUGCCGUUACAAGCUUUCUAACAGUAUUUUGCCGUUAGAUAUUAAAAAAAGCCUGCGUUACUAAAACCCAAUUUUGGUGUAGUGGUUGCCACCUUUCUCCCAACUGACAAGAUGAUAUUUACGCUUAGAGUCAGUUGACCCCAUAGAAAAUUAGAAAUUCCCUCAUUCUUCUUUAAUAAUGUUGGCUGUUGAAACUGGGAGUGUAAGUAGCGAAAAUUGAUAGAUAGGGAGGUUAGAUUCUGGGCUAAGAUUAAAUGCCCCCUUUAAAGAUCAGAUUUUGCUGCCACAUGCCCAGUUUGGUUUGCACUGGUUCAAUAGUUUGAUUCCAUACCUGAUUGUUCUUAUAAUUCGAUCCCAACGGCAUGUCCAAGUAGGGCUGGCAAAGUGACCCGAGACCCGUUAACCCGACACGAACCCGACCCGAUAUAAACAGGUUUGGGUUUAGUCUUAUCGGGUUGGCGGGUCAUUUUGACCCGAACCUGUUAACCUGUUUAAUAUACAGGUCGGGUUCAGGUCUGAAUAUUAACAGGUCGGGUCAGACCCGAAACCCGUUAGAAAACCCUAAGUAUAAAAUAGAAAAAUAUCAAUACCCUAUCUAUCCUUGUUACUUUGUUAGUAUUUUCUUCUUGGCCGCCACCAUGAACAAACCAGUGAACCACCAUUGAAAUGGCGAGCAUAUCAGCAACUCCAUCAUCGUUUCUUCUGACAUCAGACUUGAGAGGAAGAAUUAUAGAGAAACCCACAUCUCUUUCAUUCGUAUCUUCACAUCCUCAACUCAAUAUAUCUUCACUUGUUUCAAUCAGAAAUAUAUCUUCACAUCCGUUUGUUGUGAAGUUUUCGAAAAUGAAUCUUCAAUUCAAGUUGACAAAGUUCAUUGCUUGAAGUGCACUUCACUUGCACAUAUUGAUUGUGUUCUUCAAUAUAAUCCUGAUGCACCCUGUCUCUAUAUAUGUCCUACAUGUGCAAUCCCCAAUUUCACGUUUUUCGAUAUCCCUUCUUCUUCUUCUUCUUCUUCUUCCUCUUCUUCUACUCAUAAUAAGAAGAUUAGAGGUAAUUGUAGUAGUAAUGUUGGUGGAAGAAAAAUUGAUUUGAAGUUAGCGACAGUAUUUCGUGCUGCUUCUUUUUUUGCUUUAGUUUCUAUGAAAAAUGCAGCUGCCUCUGCCAAUAAAGAGGCUGAUCUUAGAAUUGGGAAGUCUUUGAUUGCUAGGGGAAAAGUAGCUCAAGCAUUAGAACAUUAUAUGACAGUUGGUGUAGAGAAAAAGGGUAAAGCUGAUUGGAGUUUCUAUGACAGUUGCACCACCACCACCACCACAGCAGUCGAAGAACAAGAAGAAAAAGAAGAAGAAGAAGAUAUCUAACAAUAACGGUGUUGGUGUAGAGAAAAAGGGUAAAGCUGUUUUGGGUAAUGUUAGCCCCAUUAAGAAGAAGAGAACAAUGAUUCUGGCUUGUUCAUCAGCAGUAGCAAAGAGCGAAUCGAAAAAACUUGUCUCUGUUGAAAAUAAGGAUGGAUUGAAAAAAGAGAAAGGUGCUAAUGGUAAUGGAACCACACUUGUUAAUUUAAAAUCCCAUUACAAUGUGUUUAAGAAAGCAGGUCUAAACAGGUCGACCUGAACACGACCUGUUUAAUUAGCAGGUCAGGUUCGGGUUUAAGGAAAAAGAGUUAAACAGGUUAACAGGUCAGGUUCGGGUUUAAGCGAAAAACACCCCAACCUGUUAAGACCCGACCUGAACCCGACACGACCCGACACGAUUGCCACCCCUAUGUCCAAGUACUUGCAACGAAGGACUCCACUUUCACAACCCAUAAUGUUGGCUAUGAUCUCGAUAUUAUCCAUUUGUCCCACCAGAGUAACCGUAGUCUUCUUCAGGUUACCUUUGAGGCCUACAACUUCGAAGAUGAGGAGGAGAGAUUUAAUGACAAGUAUUUGAUCAAAAGUGGCAUCAAUAAAAAAUAGCGUGUCGUCAGCAAACUGAAGGAGAACGAUUUUCAGCCCGCUUAUGUGUACUUUGAAGACAUGGAUAAAUCCCAGGUUGAGAGCCUGGUGUGUCAAUCUACUCAAGGCUUCCAUCACCAAAUCGAAGAGAAACGGAGAAAUCGGAUCACCUUGAGGAAGACCCCAUUUACUUCGGAAAAAUGCCUUAAGGUGAUUUGUUGAUAAGAUUGAAAAGGAGGUCGUAGAAAUACAUACCCGAAUCCAAUUCCUCCACUUUGGCUUGAAACCCAUUCGACCCAAGAGAUAAUCUAGAAAAACCCAGUUGACUCUAUCGUGCUUUAGAAAUAUCUACUUUGCAUAGAAGACCUGGUCCAUUAAAUCGAAUCCUUGCAUCUAAACAUUCGCUAGCUAUCAGAAAACCGUCUAGAAUCUGCCGAUCACCCACAAAAGCACUCUGGCAAGGUGAGAUUAAUUGUUGGAGAACCACCUUCAACCGAGUAGCUAAGAUUUUCUAAACUAUCUUGUAAAGAACACUAACUAGGCUGAUAGGGCGGAAGUCGGAUAUAGGAACUACACCUUUCUUCUUCGGAACCAAAGUAAUAAUUGUUGUGUUUAAACGCCAAUAUAUGAACCCCUUAGAGAAGAAUUCUUCCACCACUGCCUUAAUAUCGUUCUUGAAUAUUGACCAACAUUUUUUGUACACCAACAUUGGCAGCCCAUCAUGGCUUGGAGCUUGAUUUCCACUGAAGUCGUUAAUUGCACACCAAAUUUCGGCUUCAGAAAUUGUUUCUUCUAAUUUUACAACUUGAUCUUCAGAAAUAGAACUAAUUCCAAAUUAUCGAGAGAAAGUCUACAUAACUAAUCCUCGGAAUACAAAACCUCAUAAAACUCUACAAUAUGCUGACAUAAUGUCUUCAUUCGUAAUUAGCUCUCCUUCGAUCUCCAAACAGUGUAUGAUAUUAAUUCCCCCCGGUUAGUCGCAGAUUUGUGAAAAAAAUGUUGUAUCUCUCUCCACCCUCCACCGAAUUCGUGAUUUUUGGCGCCAACAAAUUUAUUUCUUUCUUAACAACACAUCCAGUUCUUCCUUUAAUAGAGUUCUAUUUGUUUCAUUAUCAAGUGACUAAGGCCCAUAUUCAGCUGAGCAUCAAUUGCAUUGAUUUAGCUUGAUCAACCUGGCUAUUGAUCCAAAAACUUCCCGAUUCCAAACCCGCGCAAUACACUUGAGAGCUUUACCCUGGUUCCACCACACAUAGCUCGCAGAGCCAGUGAAAUUAAAUGAUAACCACCAUUCCGCAAUGGGACCCAAUAAAUCAGCAUUCUCGAACCAUAUAGUCUUGAAUCUAAAAAAAUUUAAACCUUCGAAUUUUUUGUGGUCGUCCAUCACCACUACUCUACGAUUUGAGACCACCCGAGAGAAUGUCAUCUCUUUAGCAAGGGGAAAACAAGUAUCCCAAUCGCUUGGUACCGACAAUCGGUCAAUUCGACUUAAGCUCCCCCCAUUUGUCCAUGUAUAUUUUGCACCACUAAGUGGAUAGUCGAUCAGAUUUAAAUUCUCCACUAGUUUCUCAAAUUCCCUCAUAUGACUUUAGAUUCGAGAUGGACCAUUACGCUCGUGAGCGAAACAUAUGAUGUUAAAAUCCCCGCCUAGACACCACGACAGGUUUGACUAGGCAUGUAUGUCAUACAGUUCCUCAGACAAGUGAGGUUUCUUUGAAUCUUUACUUAAUUUUUGUCUCUUGUAGUAAAAGAACACUAGGUUCAAACUCUUUCAUUAAAUCUCUAACAACACAAAUGGUAGCAUCGUUACCCAGACCGUAAACAUUCCAUGUUGCAAGUUUAAUCGACAUAUCUAACUGAGGAAUCCCCUAUAGAUGAUGUCAAUAAAUCGUGACCUUGAUUUGAGAUAUAAUUCGACCAAUUCUGACGUUCAUUGUUCUUCCCCAAUUAUGUGAACGAACUCUCUUGCCCCCUACAAUCCAUAGUCGAUGUCAUACCAACUUUAGAUGAUAAAGGUAUCACCAUCCAUCUGAUAUUCUGAUCCAGCACCUGUAAUCUUCCUCUGUUUUGAACGCAAGAAGCUUUACACAAUUUCUUCUCUUGUCGGGGUCUAUCUUCCUUAACACGAGAUCCCUUAUGCUACCGCCCAAUUUAGACCAACCUGCAAGCUUUUUUCCCAGAUGGAAAGCAUAGACAUGCAACUCCACCGUUAUUGCAUUUCAAAGUAAUGAAACAUUGGAGAUAAGACCCAAAAGUUGCCCGGCCAAUUUAGACCAACCUGCAAGCUUUUUUCCCAGAUGGAAAGCAUAGACACGCAACUCCACCAUUAUUGCAUUUCAAAGUAAUGAAACAUUGGAGAUAAGACCCAAAAGUUGCCCGGCCAAUUUAGACCAACCUGCAAGUUUUUUUCCCAGAUGGAAAGCAUAGACACGCAACUCCACCAUUAUUGCAUUUCAAAGUAAUGAAACAUUGGAGAUAAGACCCAAAAGUUGCCCGCCCAAUUUAGACCAACCUGCAAGCUUUUUUCCCAGAUGGAAAGCAUAGACACAAAGAUGGGAAAAUUUAAAGGAGAAAACAAGUACAUUGGAUGCAUUUAAUAUCAUUAGUUUUUAUCGGCUACAUCAAAAAUGGAUUUUCAGAACAUAUUACAGACAAGAAAGAAGUGAUUUGAACCAUCCCAACAUAAAAAUCNNNNNNNNNNNNNNNNNNNNNNNNNNNNNNNNNNNNNNNNNNNNNNNNNNNNNNNNNNNNNNNNNNNNNNNNNNNNNNNNNNNNNNNNNNNNNNNNNNNNNNNNNNNNNNNNNNNNNNNNNNNNNNNNNNNNNNNNNNNNNNNNNNNNNNNNNNNNNNNNNNNNNNNNNNNNNNNNNNNNNNNNNNNNNNNNNNNNNNNNNNNNNNNNNNNNNNNNNNNNNNNNNNNNNNNNNNNNNNNNNNNNNNNNNNNNNNNNNNNNNNNNNNNNNNNNNNNNNNNNNNNNNNNNNNNNNNNNNNNNNNNNNNNNNNNNNNNNNNNNNNNNNNNNNNNNNNNNNNNNNNNNNNNNNNNNNNNNNNNNNNNNNNNNNNNNNNNNNNNNNNNNNNNNNNNNNNNNNNNNNNNNNNNNNNNNNNNNNNNNNNNNNNNNNNNNNNNNNNNNNNNNNNNNNNNNNNNNNNNNNNNNNNNNNNNNNNNNNNNNNNNNNNNNNNNNNNNNNNNNNNNNNNNNNNNNNNNNNNNNNNNNNNNNNNNNNNNNNNNNNNNNNNNNNNNNNNNNNNNNNNNNNNNNNNNNNNNNNNNNNNNNNNNNNNNNNNNNNNNNNNNNNNNNNNNNNNNNNNNNNNNNNNNNNNNNNNNNNNNNNNNNNNNNNNNNNNNNNNNNNAACUCAGGCAUCCAUACGGGUUAGGAACAUUGGCAGGGCCAACUUCUGUUCUGCUCUGGAGUCUGGACACCUCAAUAUGAAAUUUACACGUGACUUACUAUUUAGUGCAGACUGCAGAACAGAAUGUUUCCAUGCUGCAAAUUUUGGGUUCAACACAGGGAUGUCAUGGCUCAAAAUUUGUAUGAUGAAUACCAACAAAAUAAAAAUAGGAUAUGAUUAUUGAUAACCAUGUUUUUACAUUUUCUGCAACAUAACAUAAAACAUCUUGUUUCUGUUUUGCAAAUAAUUGGAAUUUUUCCAACACCACUUCUAUGGUUUUUGUUUAAAAUUUAAACUUUCUUUCAGGUUAUCUAAAAGUCCUAGUGUUCAAUUAAGACUGCCUUAAUACUUUCUUGGGUAGUUAAAUCGGUUUUUGGGAAUUAAAAACGAAUGUUCAAAUGAGCAUUAAAGCAGUUAAACUUAAAUUAUCCUACUUUUCUUAAUAACAUAACUAGCAAAAUCAAAAUUUAGUAGCAAUAGCAAUAGUCAUGGCGAAGUACAUACCACCACAUAGAAGACACAUGAAACACACUGAUUGUGGUUCAUCUUCUUCACCACCUGCUGCUGCUGCUCUAUCCUUUUCUGUUCAGAGAAAGUUGAAACUGAAUAGUAAGAAAGUUGAAGGGGUUUCAGAAUGCCACUAUAUUGCUUGUGCAAGACACUGGGUUUCCAAAUGGUUUGUUGUCUCUUCUUAUGAUAAUGAUGAUCAUGAUCAAGAUGUUCAACUUCCCUUUUCCAUUCAUUUGAGGGAUUAUACAUGUGAAGCUAUUGAGCAAUUGUACCAAAAGAAAUCAAAGAUUUUAUUAUUUAAUGGUCAUCCCGAGAAAGGUUUUCUUCUUUUAUCUCUUCUUUGUGUCAUGCUUUAUGAUUGUAUUUUUACAUGAAUCUUUUUCCUUUGAAACAAACAAUAUAUUUAUUUAAAUCCAACAACCCUUUUAACAUCUUGAUUAUAUAGAUGGGGGAGAGUUCUACACAUUGAAAGAUCCAUGGCUCUCUAUAGUAGAAAAGAUACAUGAAGACUUAUUUAUUUCUUUUCAAAGUGCGAAGAACGAAAUGUGUAAAGAUGGUCCUGAGCUGAAAGUGCCUCAUUUUACUUUUAGAUUUGGUAAAAUCCUCUUCCAUGGGUAAGUGCUGAUGUCUCUGCUAGAAUUUAUUUGUUUUCCAUCGGUUUUGACUGUUGUGCAUGAAAAUUAAAGUAGAAUUCUGAAUUGAGUACAAUACUUACAUAUUGCAGCAACCCUUCUAUCCAUCUUGAGAAUGUAAAUAAGAGUGGAGUUGUUGAAACUGCUUUGAAUCCAUUAAAAAGAACAUACUAUCCAAAUGUCCCCAAGCUAUUUGUAGAAGCUAUUCUCAAUGAGUUUGUUCAAAAUAUUGGACUUGAAUUCGAGGAGGAGACAGAAUACUACCAUGUAAAGGUACUGAUAAUUAAGGCCUUCUGUAAGUGAACGAUAGGUUUCAUUAAUGAAUUUCAUAACUCAGCAUUCUCUGAUCAUGAAACACUUAAUUUCACGUUUCAUUCAGGUAUAUGACAAAUGCCGACCACGUACAGCUAUUUCAUGCAGAUGCACUGUAAACCAUGCUGUUGGAGAGCUUGAUCUUAAUGAGGCAAGUUUUAAUUUGUAAACACCUUGCAUUGUAGUACAAAACUAACUAGUACAUGUGCGUAAAACUCUCCCACACAAUGAAGGAAACUAGGUCUUAUGAAAAUUAGGAUACAUGCUAUGAAACAUGAGUACAUGACAAUAUUGUACCUUUUCUCAUUCUUUGGGGAUGCUGCUCGUGCCUUUCGCAGGCCCAGAGACAGGGGAAAUUAGAAGAAGAGAAAAUUAGGAAAUUGCCUUACGUUGCAAGACUUUCAAUCAUGUUGAGAAAAUUCAGGGUUGGAGACUCGGAGGGUCUCCUUCACAACAGUGUUGAAAAUAAUCAUAUUUUCACUCUACCUCCUAACCUCUAUAUAUUAUUUGCAUCACUGCAUGUGUUAUUACAUUGAGUUUAUAACAGAAGUAAUCUAUGUUUUUGUUGUUUAGUCUAAAGUCUAAACUAUUGUCUUUCAUGAUGUAGAUUGAGUUGAAUAAACUGCGACACCUGACUGCUGACAUCUCAUGCCUUGACAAGAGUCUUGAUCUGAGGUUAAUGCUUUCUUCCAAAAGGACAGUGAUUUCUCUGAACGUGAGUUCCCUUCAUAUAUUCUUUCAGCUCUAAGGAUAAUUAAUUGUGGGCCUUGUGCAUUUGGCUUCUAGAUAUGUAUCUGAUGAAUCUAAUUGAUGUAAUGAUCAUCAGGGAUGAUGUAAAGCAUAGCUUGAACAAUUUAUUGAAGUCUGCAGUGAUAGAUUCAGAAGUGAGGGGAGGACUGAGAUGGCCUCCUGGAAAGGAGUCUGUGGAUGAUAGAUUUUUCGUCAUUGGAAGUUGCCAUACUAAAGAUAAAAAUUUCAAAAAUUCAUGUAUAAGGCUUAAGAUUAGGCAAGCAGAUCAAUUUGAUUUCAGGACUUCAACGGCUGAAUUUACCGACGAAUCUAGUGUUAGGAUGAUACAUCUCGACAAUUAUCUAAGCGUAAGUACAAUUCAUCUUAAUGCAUACAUAUUAAUGGACAACUUGAUGGGAAUAUACAAAGGCAAGAAAUGGGUGGUAGUCUUCUCGGAUUUUCGCUAGAGUAUUAUCUAGGUUGGUCAAUAUAUAGGUAGGACCUAAGGAAAGGUUUAAAUUAUUUUGUGUUGGUUGGUUUUACACUGAUGAAGAAACUAGGUGAUAUAUAUAGGCCAUUACUUUUCGCUCUUGAACUAACUAGUUUUUGAAGAAUUCUGUUUAUCAAUUGUUUUGAUCGAUUACAUUGCCUUACUUUACAGGAUGAGAGCUCUGAGGUUGCACUUGCACCCAUGGUUGACAUGGUUCGUGAGACACUGAAACUGAUAUGGAACAACUUGUUAUGCUGGGAAGGUUCUUAUACUUGAAGUCAUUGUUGUUUAUCUCCUUAUAAUUGUAAUAUGUUUUGAAACUAGUCAAGUGUAUGUAGCAGAUCAGGGUUCUCUGGAUUCACAGUAAACUUUUUUGUGUUUAAUUUGUAUGAUGAAUAUGCAUUCUUAUCUCUAAAUUUCAAUCCUCAAGCCUAGCUUUUCUCGAUAAACUUUUUAUUUAUAUUUUGUUGGUGUAUAUUUAUUUGUGCUAUUCAAUUGCAUGUUUUGUUGUGUUUCAUGAUUGGAGAAGAAACGAAGCAGGAAUUGAUGUAGCUGUAUUUAGAAUCUUAACCAUGCCAUUACAGGACUUCCUGUCACUGUAGUUAGAGAUGAAACACUGAAACAGGACUUCCCGUCUGUAUGGCACUAUGGCAGUGAUAUCGAUUCACUAAUGAUAAUAAAAGCUAACUAAUUAUUAGAGAUUCAAAAUUUGCAAUCCCAUCACCCUUGCUAGGCCUUGCGAUGUACUUGUUGUCAAAAGUCGUUAUGAACUUAGAUCAGAUGAGAGCUUUAUAGGGGUUAUGGACAAUCCUGCCUCCCUAGACCACGGUUUUAAGUUUCGAAACUCAUUUACAUUUUGCUUACACUUAGGGUGCCAGAUGAAAACAAAGAAAAUUUGUAGGGUUUUAACUUUUCGUUUCCGACAGACUAGCUUUUAAAGACAUUUUUUCUUGGAUACAAAGACAAACCUGGGUAAUUUAAUUAAUAAAAUCAUCUGAAUAAAUGUACAUGCCAGUUAUGGAUAAAUCUAGAGAUAAAAAAAAUGCCGGAAUUUGGAUUCCAAUUUGAAGAAAUGACAAGUGGACAUGACAAAUAUUGUUUUGACAUCUGGACCAUGGUGCAAAUAAUUUCUAUGAAUAAUAUUAAAUUAAGUUCGUUAGCCCAUCAAUUCACAGCUUGAAUGAUCCUUUAUCAUCUUGUGAAUACUCAGAAGAUAUCGUUUUCCUUGUACUCCACUACUUGAAAGAGCUCAUUCUUAGCAAGAGAACCUAGGAAUAUAUAUAUUGAUACAACAUCUGUGUAGUAGUACAUUUUUUUCGCAAGUUGGAAAUUAUGAGAAUCACUGUGAUAGAAGAGACUAUAGUGAAACCUAUAGAAGAAACUCCUCAUGAAAGCUUAUGGACACCUAAUACAGAUCAGUUGUUUAAUUGUCUAGUCCCAAGUGUUUAUUUCUAUAAGCCUAAUAAGACUUCAGACUUUUUUAGUUGUAAUGUGUUGAAAUAUGCACUAAGUAAGGUUCUUGUUCCAUUUUAUCCAAUUGCUGGUAGAUUGAAGAGAAAUAAAGAAGGUAGAGUUGAGAUAGAUUGCAAUGGUGAAGGUGCUCUUUUUGUUGAAGCUGAGACAGAUUCUGUUGUAGAUGAUCUUGGUGAUUUUGUACCUACAGAGGAAGUCAGGCAACUCUUAUAUACCUUAUAGAAUGUAUAAUCCAAAAGAUAUUUCAUCCUUUCCUCUAUUUUCUGUUCAGGCCAGUCUUUAACGUUGUUUUUCGCUUAAAAUAUGUUAUUGCAGACCAAAUGUUGAUUCCCUUUUGUGUUCAAGUGCUAACAGGUGACCUACUUCAAGUGUGGGGGAGGAUCAGUUGGUGUGCUUGUAGAGCACAGUAUGGUUGAUGGUACCUCUGGGACUUAUUUUACCAAUUCAUGGGCCAGAAUCGCGCGAGGACUUGAUAUCAAAAUUUUACCAUUCGUUGAUAGGACUUUGUUACGAUCACGAGAUCCACCCACGCCAUCUUUCCGCCAUGUUGAAUUUGAAUCCUCACCUGCAAUGUUAUCCCAAGGCCGAAAUCCUUUUUGUGUUGCUAUGUUCAAGCUCUCGUGUAAUCAAAUCAAUCUAUUAAAGGCCCAAUGUACAGAUGAUGAAUCAGGCAGUGUAAGAUUUAGUUCAUUUGAAGUAAUAGCAAGUCAUGUAUGGCGUUGUUUAGGCAAGGCUCGUGGUGUACAUGAUGAUGAAGAACUAAAGAUACAGAUUGCCAUAGAUGGCCGAUCACGUCUUCGUCCACAACUCCCGUCAGAAUACUUCGGUAAUGCAAUUUUCAACGUAAAACCAAUGGCAACUGCAGGCGAAUUAGUAUCAAAACCACUCAUUGAUAUUGUUUGAAAAAUGCACGACGUCUUAGUAAGAGCCGAUGAUGAGUAUCUUAAAUCAGCUCUUGAUUACUUGGAGAUACAACCAGAUCUUUUGAGUGUCCUUCCUCCUCUUAGGUGCCCAGAUAUGGCAUUCAGUACUUGGUGUUCCAUGCCAAUAUAUGAAGCAGAUUUUGGGUGGGGUAGGCCAGCUUUCGUGGGCUUGGGUAAUAUUCUUGUUGAGGGCCUGGCAUAUCUUCUCCCAAGCCCAAUAAUGGAUGGAAGUCGUUUAUUGGUCAUUUCACCAAAACCUGAUCACAUGGUCCUGUUCAAAAAAUACGUAUAUGACAUCUAAAUUGUAUUUUAGUUGUUUUCUCUUUGAAAUAAAAUGGGCCUAAGAUGUUGUAAUUGAGUAUAAUCCAUUCCAUGGUGUGUUAGGCUAUGCUCGAAGUUGGUAUUUUUGUAAAUAUUCUUUUGUUCGAAGUCACGUGCUAUGCUCGUGUAAAUUCGUUAAGCUUUUGCUUUUGAAACAACCAUCAUCGAUCGAACCGUCCAACAUUCUUUAUCGAACGGUUAUAGAUUACGAUCCGUGUAGCAAUCUUUCUAACAAAUAAGAAACCUCCUUUCAAAACCAACAACUCAACAAGCAUCUAACCGUCCAUUCUCUCUAUAAAAACCAACGGUUAUAGAUUACGAUCCGUGUUUUUCUCUUCUAACCAAAUAAUAACUCUCAUCUAACCGUUCGUUAUUUCACAAUAAAUGAACGGCUAGAGAUUACAAUCCGCGUCUUUUCAUUGCAACCAAUAAGAAACCACCUUUCAAAACAAACUCAGAUCUAACCAUUCAUUUUCUCUGAAUAAAUGAACGGUUAGAGAUUGCGAUCCGCGUCUAUUCGUUGCAACCAAUGAAAUGCUUUCGAGUUUCUUCUUGUCUAUAAAUAGAACCAAAACCACUCCCACUCUCUUCACACAUUCAAAAAAACCUUCAUCUUCAUCUUCUUCUUGUAUUCAAAUCUCUGCGAAAUUUCUUUAAUCUAAAAAUGGCAGGAGGAAGAGGAAAGGGUCUUGGAAGUUCAACAACAAAGAAAGUUUCAACAUCACGAAGUAGCAAAGCUGGUCUUCAAUUCCCAGUUGGUAGAAUCUCUAGAUUUCUUAAAGCUGGAAAAUAUGCUCAACGUGUUGGUGCUGGUGCACCAGUUUAUCUCGCUUCUGUUCUUGAAUAUCUCACUGCAGAGGUAAUUAGGACUUUUCGUAAUUUUUUAGUUAGCAAUUUCUUUGAUUUCGUUGUUUUGAAUGUGGGGAUUUUUUUUUUUUUUUGUUAUGAUUUUGCAGGUAUUGGAAUUGGCUGGAAAUGCUGCUCGAGAUAACAAGAAAACAAGAGUUGUACCUCGACAUAUUCAAUUGGCUGUAAGGAAUGAUAAGAGUUGAGCAAGUUGCUUGGAUCUGUUACUAUUGCUAAUGGUGGAGUAAUGCCUAAUAUUCAUUCCAACCUCUUGCCUAUUAAGAAGAAAACUGCUGCUUCUUCAAAUGAAGACUGAAUUCAAGAAGAUCUGUGUGUUCAUGAUGUAGACAACUCAGAGAAUUAGAGAAAAAAUUUGUCAUUUCUUUAGAUUGUGUAUUUGGUUUUUAGUUGUUGUUGGGUUUCUAUGUAGAAGAAGGAAGUAAUGUGAAUGAUAUAAAGUUGUUCUUGAUUUGCAAAUUUAUUUUGAAUUUUGAAUCCAAAACUGAAAUAAACUAUGGUACAAAAUUUAUUUGAAAUUUCAUUUGAAUUUGGGAAUCUGUUCAUGUGGCAAAGAAUGAGUCCUACAUCCCAUUUAGCC